CCUACGGGUGGCUGCAGUGGGGAAUAUUGGACAAUGGGCGAAAGCCUGAUCCAGCCAUGCCGCGUGUGUGAAGAAGGCCUUCGGGUUGUAAAGCACUUUCAGUGGGGAAGAAAGCCUUGGGGCUAAUACCCGCGAGGAAGGACAUCACCCACAGAAGAAGCACCGGCUAACUCCGUGCCAGCAGCCGCGGUAAUACGGAGGGUGCGAGCGUUAAUCGGAAUUACUGGGCGUAAAGCGCGCGUAGGCGGUCUGAUAAGCCGGUUGUGAAAGCCCCGGGCUCAACCUGGGAACGGCAUCCGGAACUGUCAGGCUAGAGUGCAGGAGAGGAAGGUAGAAUUCCCGGUGUAGCGGUGAAAUGCGUAGAGAUCGGGAGGAAUACCAGUGGCGAAGGCGGCCUUCUGGACUGACACUGACGCUGAGGUGCGAAAGCGUGGGUAGCAAACAGGAUUAGAUACCCGAGUAGUC
rnacentral:rRNA from 1 species